AGAGCGAACGCUGGCGGCAGGCCUAACACAUGCAAGUCGAGCGCCCCGCAAGGGGAGCGGCAGACGGGAGAGUAACACGUGGGAACGUACCCUUCAGUUCGGAACAACCCAGGGAAACUUGGGCUAAUACCGAAUACGUCCGUAAGGAGAAAGAUUUAUCGCUGAAGGAUCGGCCCGCGUCUGAUUAGCUAGUUGGUGAGGUAACGGCUCACCAAGGCUACGAUCAGUAGCUGGUCUGAGAGGAUGAUCAGCCUCACUGGGACUGAGACACGGCCCAGACUCCUACGGGAGGCAGCAGUGGGGAAUAUUGGACAAUGGGCGCAAGCCUGAUCCAGCCAUGCCGCGUGGAUGAUGAAGGCCUUAGGGUUGUAAAGUCCUUUCGACGGGGAAGAUAAUGACGGUACCCGUAGAAGAAGCCCGGCUAACUUCGCGCCAGCAGCCGC
rnacentral:rRNA from 1 species